rnacentral:rRNA from 1 species
CACCGCGGUUAUACAAGAAACCCAAAGCAACAAUAACAACGGCGUAAAAUGUGGUUAAACCAAAUUCAUAAAAACCUAAGGUUGCCCCUUCCACCAAACUGUCAUACGUAAAGUACAAAUCAACCCAAUACGAAAGUAACCUUAAUAUAUUAGAAAACUUGAAUCCACGAUCGUUAAGACA